CGGGAAACCGGGAUUAAUACCAAAUAAAAUCAUAAUGACACAUGUCAUAACGAUCAAAACUCCGGUGGUCUAAGAUGGACUCGCGUCCCAUUAGCUAGUUGGUAGAGUAAAAGCCUACCAAGGCGACGAUGGGUAGCCGGCCUGAGAGGGUGAACGGCCACAUUGGAACUGAGAAACGGUCCAA
rnacentral:rRNA from 1 species